rnacentral:piRNA from 1 species
UGCUGUACGGGGAACAGAAACACCUGAUC